rnacentral:rRNA from 1 species
GAUGAACGCUGGCGGCGUGCCUAAUACAUGCAAGUCGAGCGAACGGACGAGAAGCGUGCUUCUCUGAUGUUAGCGGCGGACGGGUGAGUAACACGUGGAUAACCUACCUAUAAGACUGGGAUAACUUCGGGAAACCGGAGCUAAUACCGGAUGAUAUUUUGAACCGCAUGGUUCAAAAGUGAAAGACGGUCUUGCUGUCACUUAUAGAUGGAUCCGCGCUGCACUAGCUAGUUGGUAAGGUAACGGCUUACCAAGGCAACGAUGCAUAGCCGACCUGAGAGGGUGAUCGGCCACACUGGAACUGAGACACGGUCCAGACUCCUACGGGAGGCAGCAGUAGGGAAUCUUCCGCAAUGGGCGAAAGCCUGACGGAGCAACGCCGCGUGAGUGAUGAAGGUCUUCGGAUCGUAAAACUCUGUUAUUAGGGAAGAACAUAUGUGUAAGUAACUGUGCACAUCUUGACGGUACCUAAUCAGAAAGCCACGGCUAACUACGUG